AGUGAACGCUGGCGGUAGGCCUAACACAUGCAAGUCGAACGGCAGCACAGUAAGAGCUUGCUCUUACGGGUGGCGAGUGGCGGACGGGUGAGGAAUACAUCGGAAUCUACUUUUUCGUGGGGGAUAACGUAGGGAAACUUACGCUAAUACCGCAUACGACCUACGGGUGAAAGCAGGGGAUCUUCGGACCUUGCGCGAUUGAAUGAGCCGAUGUCGGAUUAGCUAGUUGGCGGGGUAAAGGCCCACCCAGGCGACGAUCCGUAGCUGGUCUGAGAGGAUGAACAGCCACACUGGAACUGAGACACGGUCCAGACUCCUACGGGAGGCAGCAGUGGGGAAUAUUGGACAAUGGGCGCAAGCCUGAUCCAGCCAUACCGCGUGGGUGAAGAAGGCCUUCGGGUUGUAAAGCCCUUUUGUUGGGAAAGAAAAGCAGCAGGUUAAUACCCCGCUGUUCUGACGGUACCCAAAGAAUAAGCACCGGCUAACUUCGUG
rnacentral:rRNA from 1 species